GCCCUAGUAAGGUGAAACCGCGAAUGGCUCAUUAAAUCAGUCAUGGUUCCUUAGAACAUACCAUCCUUCUUGGAUAACUGUGGUAAUUCUAGAGCUAAUACAUGCAACAGAGCUCCGACCCUUGUGGAACGAGCGCUUUUAUUAGACCAAAGACCAAUCGGAGCUUCGGCCCCGUCAGUCUGUGGUGACUCUGGAUAACUUUUAGCGGAUCGCACGGUCAUCGUGCCGGCGACUCCUCUUUCAAAUGUCUGCCUUAUCAACUUUCGAUGGUAGGUUAAUUGCCUACCAUGGUUGUAACGGGUGACGGGGAAUCAGGGUUCGAUUCCGGAGAGGGAGCCUGAGAAACGGCUACCACAUCCAAGGAAGGCAGCAGGCACGCAAAUUACCCACUCCCAGUACGGGGAGGUAGUGACGAAAAAUAACAAUGCGGGACUCUUACGAGGCCCCGUAAUUGGAAUGAGUCCACUUUAAAUCCUUUAACGAGGACCUAUUGGAGGGCAAGUCUGGUGCCAGCAGCCGCGGUAAUUCCAGCUCCAAUAGCGUAUACUAAAGUUGUUGCGGUUAAAAAGCUCGUAGUUGGAUGUCAGUCGCGGGCGGGCGGUCCACCGUUUUGGUGGUUUACUGCUCGUCCCGCGACCUACUGGCCGGCCUCCCCCGCUAUGCUCUUCACCGGGUGUGGCGGGUGGCCGGAAAGUUUACUUUGAAAAAAUUAGAGUGCUCUAAGCAGGUGCAUGCCGCCUGAAUAACACAGCAUGGAAUAAUGGAAUAGGACCUCGGUUCUAUUUUGUUGGUUUUCGGAAUUCCGAGGUAAUGAUUAAUAGGGACAGACGGGGGCA
rnacentral:rRNA from 1 species